AGUAUUAUGACCGAAUAUAGGUGAUAAAUUGUAAAUUUAUUUAUGGAGUUAUCCUUUUACUA
rnacentral:tRNA from 1 species